AGAAGAAGAAGGCCUUUCCGGUACGAUAUUUUCGAGGUUUUCGUUCGAAAUAGGUAUUGAAUCGAAAUUGUUAUGUUCUAAAUGUGCCUUGCUACGGAACAAACGGGCCUCGUUCACCCAUCGGUGGAGAAGUUAACGACGGAGGAGUGUAUUAAAACGACGGAGGAGAUUAUUAAAACGACGGCGAGCAAUGAUGGGAACUAUUUGGAUUACCGGUGGCAAUAUGACCGAGAGAUCAGAUGGUACCGUUAUCGAGGCCAAGGCAGCCGUGACUGCGAUCAGCGCCUACGCCAUAAGUUGAUAAAUAAAAGAAGCGGAAACUUAACGGGAGCCAAACGAUAUCCAAAUCUCAAGUAAGAACAUCAGCAGCAGUAAUAACAAACAAAUGGAAAUCCUCUGCUGAUCCUGAUCAUCCCUCAAACUUCUUGUGCGUGAAUCAAAAGGGUACACACACAGACAACAACAUUGAAGGACAACUAUGCCUUACUGAAAAAGCUAUGAAAACCUGGAUGCAAAUAAUUGACAGGCUGUCAAUGAAGAAAUCGUUGCCCAUAUAUGGUGAAAUAAUAAUGACUACUUAUGGAAAUCAACACGGAUUCUAUAAGAGAAUCUCACAGCAUAGAUUUAUGAAUCUACUGCAACUCGGUUUUACUUGCCUUUACCUGCCGUUUACCUCAAACACGGAGGCUGUUCUGCUGAUAAUAGACAGCCGCAUAAGAUUUAGAUACAAUCGACAAUAGUUUGAUCAAUUCAAACUCGGAGCAUAUUUUCUGUACUUCUGCUACGAAAUAGGGUCCCUUUACAUCAAAUAUGGCAGUUUCAACGAACACGAUUCGAAUUAAUGCAGAUUUUCCGUUAUAAAAUUAAAAAAAAAAUAAUGCACAUAGAACAACAAAGAAAGAUUUGAGCUUAGGACUUAAUAACUUAGAGAUAACGUAUGUUUUCCAAUCAAGUCUCAAAAUUGUAUCGUUUUAUUGUAAUGAGUGAAGUUAUCAAUACCAACCUAUUUUGUCCAAAAGAUCAACGAGUAUGACGUAAUUAAACUUUUACUAUAAUUUUCCCAAACCUUCUCAAGCAUGUUCUAAUAAGACUUAUUUGUAACUCGAUUUACGUGAAAAAAAUUUUAACUAAAA